rnacentral:rRNA from 1 species
UAUCCUGGCUCAGGAUGAACGCUGGCGGCGUGCUUAACACAUGCAAGUCGAACGAGAACCAUUGGAUCGAGGAUUCGUCCAAGUGAAGGUGGGGAAAGUGGCGGACGGGUGAGUAACGCGUGAGCAAUCUGCCUUGGAGUGGGGAAUAACGGCUGGAAACAGCCGCUAAUACCGCAUGAUACAGCUGGGAGGCAUCUCCCUGGCUGUCAAAGAUUUAUCGCUCUGAGAUGAGCUCGCGUCUGAUUAGCUAGUUGGCGGGGUAACGGCCCACCAAGGCGACGAUCAGUAGCCGGACUGAGAGGUUGGCCGGCCACAUUGGGACUGAGACACGGCCCAGACUCCUACGGGAGGCAGCAGUGGGGAAUAUUGGGCAAUGGGCGCAAGCCUGACCCAGCAACGCCGCGUGAAGGAAGAAGGCUUUCGGGUUGUAAACCUCUUUUGUCAGGGACGAAGCAAGUGACGGUACCUGACGAAUAAGCCACGGCUAACUACGUG